GUACCCUGUCUGAUGUUGACUGGACUAAAACACCCAAAUCCUCUGUAAUAACUAAUUAAAUAAUAUUUUUUGUUUAAAUGAGCGACUGGCCUGCUGAAACAUUGGGAGUGGAGGGAGAAAUAGUUCCCAUCCAACACAACUAGGCAAGAUAACCUUAAUUUUUUAUGUCUUGACAUACUAGGUAAUUUAAUUAAUUUUAGUGAUGGAUACAUAAUAAUUGUUAUUAAAUCAUGUACUAUUAUGUGAGGAUCCAUACACAGAAGGAAACCUUGGAAUCAGCAUCAGUAGUCAUUUUUUUCUAGAUCAAUCUGCCCAUCUCCACUCUGCUGCUGAUGAGUUUGACUUUCCUGCCCGGGCAUGAAGGUGUGAAGUUCACACUGUGCACAGGUAUAUGUAGAAUUUAAAAGAAUUACUGGAGUUGAUCUGCACUCAACUUCCACAAAGUCCUGGAGGUCAAUGCCAAAGGUCUGAUCAGGAUGUAUCACUCCGAAAGAAGUUGAAGAUGAGUUGAAAGCCCUAUUAACACACCUAGAUGAGCAGACCACAGAUAUGGCCACGCAUUGGAGAUCUUCAGUUUUAUAUUCAGGAUUACAUACCAAUUGUUAAGAACUUUCAGAACUUCUUAAACUACUUCAAAAAUCCUCCACAUGCAGCAAUGACAGCUUUGCAGAUCCUUGGCAUUCUAGCUGUCAGUUUGUCCAGAUACUCAG